GUGCUCACUUCAGCAGUACCUAUUAAAGUUGGAAUGAUACAGAGAAGAUUAGCAUGGUCCUUGCAUAAGGAUGACAUGCAAAUUCAUGAUGUAUCCAUGUUAUUG
rnacentral:snRNA from 1 species